rnacentral:rRNA from 1 species
GAUGAACGCUGGCGGCGUGCCUAAUACAUGCAAGUCGAGCGAACGGACGAGAAGCUUGCUUCUCUGAUGUUAGCGGCGGACGGGUGAGUAACACGUGGAUAACCUACCUAUAAGACUGGGAUAACUUCGGGAGACCGUAGCUAAUACCGGAUAAUAUUUUGAACCGCAUGGUUCAAAAGUUAAAGACGGUCUUGCUGUCACUUAUAGAUGGAUCCGCGCUGCAUUAGCUAGGUGGUAAGGUAACGGCUUACCAAGGCAACGAUGCAUAGCCGACCUGAGAGGGGGAUCGGCCACACUGGAACUGAGACACGGUCCAGACUCCUACGGGAGGCAGAAGCAGGGACUGGUGCGAACAGGGCGAAAGACUGAACGAGCAGCGGCGGCCGAGUGCUGAAGGGCUGCGGACCGUAAAACGCUGUUAUGAGUGAAGAACAUAUGCGGAAGGAACUGUGCACAUCGUGACGGUACCUACACAGAAAGCACCGGCUAACUACGUG